rnacentral:rRNA from 1 species
AUUGAACGCUGGCGGCAUGCCUUACACAUGCAAGUCGAACGGCAGCACGGGAGCUUGCUCCUGGUGGCGAGUGGCGAACGGGUGAGUAAUAUAUCGGAACGUACCCUAGAGUGGGGGAUAACGUAGCGAAAGUUACGCUAAUACCGCAUACGAUCUACGGAUGAAAGUGGGGGAUCGCAAGACCUCAUGCUCAUGGAGUGGCCGAUAUCUGAUUAGCUAGUUGGUGGGGUAAAAGCCUACCAAGGCGACGAUCAGUAGCUGGUCUGAGAGGACGACCAGCCACACUGGAACUGAGACACGGUCCAGACUCCUACGGGAGGCAGCAGUGGGGAAUUUUGGACAAUGGGGGCAACCCUGAUCCAGCAAUGCCGCGUGAGUGAAGAAGGCCUUCGGGUUGUAAAGCUCUUUUGUCAGGGAAGAAACGGUUCAGGCUAAUAUCCUGGGCUAAUGACGGUACCUGAAGAAUAAGCACCGGCUAACUACGUGCCAGCAGCCGCAGUAA